rnacentral:rRNA from 1 species
GCAGAGAACUUACCUCGUACCUUUUGCAUCAUGAUUCAGCAAGUAAAAUACAUGCAAAGAGACCUCUAGUUUGUAACCCCGAAGCCCGACGAGCUACUCCGAGACAGCUUAUCCAGAGCCAACCCAUCUCUGUAGCAAAAGAGUGGGAAGAUCCCCGAGUAGAAGCAAAAGACCUACCGAGCCGGGCUAUAGCUGGUUGCCCAAUAAAUGAAUAAAAGUUCAGCCCCGUACAGCCCAAAUCACAUUAGUUAUUCUACAAAAGACAAAGAGCUAUCAAACGGAGGUUAAUCAGAGGAGGUACAGCUCCCCUGAUAAAGGACACAACCUUAAAAAGGAGAUCAAGGAAUAUAAUUUAAUAAGGCCAUAGUCUCAGUGGGCCUGAAAGCAGCCAUCUGGCCAGAAAGCGUUAAAGCUCAGACCAAAAUAAUCCCAUUAUUCCAUUUAACCCUCCAAAAUCCCUUAUAUUAAUGGGCCCUCCCAUGCACUCAUAGAAGAGAUUAUGCUGAAACGAGUAACAAGAAGACCGAACUUCUCCUUAGCACAAGUGUAAAUCGAAUUGGACUAUCCACCGACAAUUAACGAACCCAACAGCAGAGGCCCCUACAUAGUCGCCGCUACAAGCCAAGAAAAACAUGUAUUCCCCUAUCGUUAACCCCACACAGGAGUGCUAAACCCAGGAAAGACUAAAAGAAAAAAAAGGAACUCGGCAAACACAAACCCCGCCUGUUUACCAAAAACAUCGCCUCUUGCACCAAAAAGUAUAAGAG